UACGUAGGCAGCGAGCGUUGUUCGGAGUUACUGGGCGUAAAGAGCGCGUAGGCGGCUUUCUAAGUCUGGUGUGAAAUCUCGCGGCUUAACUGGGAGGGUGCGCCGAAAACUGGAAGGCUUGAGUAUGGGAGAGGUAAGCGGAAUUCCUGGUGUAGCGGUGAAAUGCGUAGAUAUCAGGAGGAACACCUGCGGUGUAGACGGCUUACUGGACCAUAACUGACGCUGAGGCACGAAAGCGCGGGUAGCAAACAGG
rnacentral:rRNA from 1 species